CCUACGGGAGGCAGCAGUGGGGAAUAUUGCACAAUGGGCGCAAGCCUGAUGCAGCGACGCCGCGUGAGGGAUGACGGCCUUCGGGUUGUAAACCUCUUUCAGUAGGGAAGAAGCGAAAGUGACGGUACCUGCAGAAGAAGCGCCGGCUAACUACGUGCCAGCAGCCGCGGUAAUACGUAGGGCGCAAGCGUUAUCCGGAAUUAUUGGGCGUAAAGAGCUCGUAGGCGGUUUGUCGCGUCUGCCGUGAAAGUCCGGGGCUCAACUCCGGAUCUGCGGUGGGUACGGGCAGACUAGAGUGAUGUAGGGGAGACUGGAAUUCCUGGUGUAGCGGUGAAAUGCGCAGAUAUCAGGAGGAACACCGAUGGCGAAGGCAGGUCUCUGGGCAUUAACUGACGCUGAGGAGCGAAAGCAUGGGGAGCGAACAGGAUUAGAUACCCUGGUAGUCCAUGCCGUAAACGUUGGGCACUAGGUGUGGGGGACAUUCCACGUUUUCCGCGCCGUAGCUAACGCAUUAAGUGCCCCGCCUGGGGAGUACGCGCGAGACAACUAAAUAGAGUAGAGCGNGAGACGNGCGACGACGACGACGAGGGAGAG
rnacentral:rRNA from 1 species